rnacentral:tRNA from 1 species
GCCUGGCUGGCUCAGUCCAUGUAGCAGGAGACUCUUGAUCUCGGGGGUGUGGGUUCAAGCCCCAUGCUGGGUG